rnacentral:lncRNA from 1 species
AUGAGAAACUUCAGUUGCUGAAAACAUUGGGAAUCUGCAACUCUUUAUCAUAGGACUUAAACUCAUGUUAGCUUUGAAUUACUUUUUCUGCACCAGUCUGCUGAAUCUGGACUGAAGAGAAAACGAGAUUGCACUGGCAGUGCUUGGCAUCCUAUACAUUUAGGCAAAAGCUACUGCAGGAAAAUUUGUUGGCAA